CUGCGAACGGCUCAUUAAAUCAGUUAUCGUUUAUUUGAUAGUACCUUUACCUACUUGGAUAACCGUGGUAAUUCUAGAGCUAAUACAUGCUAAAAGUCCCGACCCCUGGAAGGGACGUAUUUAUUAGAUAAAAAACCAAUGCUCUUUUGGGCUUCUUGGUGAUUCAUGAUAACUUUACGAAUCGCAUGGCCUUGUGCCGGCGAUGGUUCAUUCAAAUUUCUGCCCUAUCAACUUUCGAUGGUAGGAUAGUGGCCUACCAUGGUUUCAACGGGUAACGGGGAAUUAGGGUUCGAUUCCGGAGAGGGAGCCUGAGAAACGGCUACCACAUCCAAGGAAGGCAGCAGGCGCGCAAAUUACCCAAUCCCGACACGGGGAGGUAGUGACAAGAAAUACUGAUACAGGGCCCCUCUGGGUCUUGUAAUUGGAAUGAGUACAAUUUAAAGCCUUUAACGAGGAACAAUUGGAGGGCAAGUCUGGUGCCAGCAGCCGCGGUAAUUCCAGCUCCAAUAGCGUAUAUUAAAGUUGUUGCAGUUAAAAAGCUCGUAGUUGAACUUUGGGUCUGGGUGACUGGUCCCCCGAAUGGGAGUGUACUGGAACCCCGGAUCUUUCCUUCUGGAGAACCUCAUGCCCUUCACUGGGUGUGUUGGGGAACUAGGACUUUUACUUUGAAAAAAUUAGAGUGUUCAAAGCAGGCUUUUGCUCGAAUACAUUAGCAUGGAAUAAUAAAAUAGGACGUGCGGUUCUAUUUUGUUGGUUUCUAGGACCGCCGUAAUGAUUAAUAGGGAUAGUCGGGGGCAUCCGUAUUCGAUUGUCAGAGGUGAAAUUCUUGGAUUUUUCGAAGACGAACUACUGCGAAAGCAUUUGCCAAGGAUGUUUUCAUUAAUCAGGAACGAAAGUUGAGGGAUCGAAGACGAUCAGAUACCGUCGUAGUCUCAACCAUAAACUAUGCCGACUAGGAAUCGGGCGAUGUUUUCAAUUUGACUCGCUCG
rnacentral:rRNA from 1 species